UACGAAGGGGGCUAGCGUUGCUCGGAAUCACUGGGCGUAAAGGGCGCGUAGGCGGGCUCUUAAGUCAGGGGUGAAAGCCCAGGGCUCAACCCUGGAAUUGCCUUUAAGACUGCAUCGCUUGAACAUCGGAGAGGUAAGUGGAAUUCCGAGUGUAGAGGUGAAAUUCGUAGAUAUUCGGAAGAACACCAGUGGCGAAGGCGACUUGCUGGACGAUUGUUGACGCUGAGGUGCGAAAGCGUGGGGAGCAAACAGG
rnacentral:rRNA from 1 species